rnacentral:rRNA from 1 species
UACACAUGCAAGUCGAGCGGAAACGAGUUGUCUGAACCUUCGGGGAACGAUAACGGCGUCGAGCGGCGGACGGGUGAGUAAUGCCUGGGAAAUUGCCCUGAUGUGGGGGAUAACUAUUGGAAACGAUAGCUAAUACCGCAUAACGUCUACGGACCAAAGAGGGGGACCUUCGGGCCUCUCGCUUCAGGAUAUGCCCAGGUGGGAUUAGCUAGUUGGUGAGGUAAUGGCUCACCAAGGCGACGAUCCCUAGCUGGUCUGAGAGGAUGAUCAGCCACACUGGAACUGAGACACGGUCCAGACUCCUACGGGAGGCAGCAGUGGGGAAUAUUGCACAAUGGGCGCAAGCCUGAUGCAGCCAUGCCGCGUGUAUGAAGAAGGCCUUCGGGUUGUAAAGUACUUUCAGUCGUGAGGAAGGCAAUACAGUUAAUAGCUGUGUUGUUUGACGUUAGC